rnacentral:rRNA from 1 species
AUUGAACGCUGGCGGCAUGCCUUACACAUGCAAGUCGAACGGCAGCGGACCUUCGGGUGCCGGCGAGUGGCGAACGGGUGAGUAAUAUAUCGGAACGUACCUUUCAGUGGGGGAUAACGUAGCGAAAGUUACGCUAAUACCGCAUAUUCUGUGAGCAGGAAAGCAGGGGAUCGCAAGACCUUGCGCUGAUUGAGCGGCCGAUAUCAGAUUAGCUAGUUGGUGAGGUAAAGGCUCACCAAGGCGACGAUCUGUAGCGGGUCUGAGAGGAUGAUCCGCCACACUGGAACUGAGACACGGUCCAGACUCCUACGGGAGGCAGCAGUGGGGAAUUUUGGACAAUGGGCGCAAGCCUGAUCCAGCCAUG